rnacentral:rRNA from 1 species
CGGGGUGAGCAAUGUCUGGGAAACUGCCUGAUGGAGGGGGGUAACUACUGGAAACGGUAGCUAAUACCGCAUAACGUCGCAAGACCAAAGAGGGGGACCUUCGGGCCUCUUGCCAUCGGAUGUGCCCAGAUGGGAUUAGCUAGUAGGUGGGGUAACGGCUCACCUAGGCGACGAUCCCUAGCUGGUCUGAGAGGAUGACCAGCCACACUGGAACUGAGACACGGUCCAG